AAAUAUUUAUAUUUGUAGCUUAUUUUCAGUUUAACAGAAAUGGAGAGUCUAAGGUAAGUAAAGGUUUCUAUCCUUUUUGCAUAACGGAUAAACUAUAAUUAAUCUCUAAUAAAGAGAUUUCCCGAAAGUAGAAGAUCUAAGCUAGCUCCCAUUUUAGUUGGAUAACCAUUAUGUUGAAUUAUAAUAUGAAGAAGUUAGCUUAGGGGUGAAAAACCUACAAUUUUACUGAUAUCUGGAUACUAAAUAAAAGUAUUAAGUACUUUACACAGCUAUAGAGCAUUAAGGCUUUAUAGAAUAAGAAUCAUUAUUAUAUUUAAUAAUAUAGCUAGGGCCAAUAACCCUUGCUUAUUUUAUAAGUUAAAAUUAAUCUUGUUUGACAUCUUUCUCCUGUUUAGUAGUAAGUUUAAACUAAAAUAAUCCAUGGCAGCUGAGAAUAUUGUAGGAGAUCUUCUAGAAAGAUAUUAUAAGAAAGGAACUCGGCAAACCCGUGCCUUAACUGUUUACCAAAAACAUAGUCUUAAGAAACUAUUUAAGAUAAUGCCUGCCCAGUGCUUGUAGUAAACGGCCGCAGUACCUUGACUGUGCUAAGGUAGCAUAAUCAGUUGGCUUUUAAAUGGAGUCGGGAAUGAAUGGAUUUAUAGGGCACCGCUGUCUCUUAUAUACUUUAUUGAACUUACUAAUUAGGUGAAAAUGCCUAAAACUAGAAAAAAGACGAGAAGACCCUAGGAGUUUUGACAAAUUUUUAAAUAAUUUAACUACUGUUUUUGUUGGGGCGACAAAGGAUUAGAUAUACAACUUCCUUUAAUCAAUUUGCCGACUUUGUAUGUGAAAUUAAACUACCCUAGGGAUAACAGCGUAAUUCUUUUAGAGCUUGCGACCUCGAUGUUGGACUAGGAAUUCGUUUGGCUAGCCGCCAAUUUGCAUUGUUCUGUUCGAACUUAACUUCCUACAUGAUCUGAGUUCAGACCGGCGUAAGCCAGGUCAGAUUCUAUCUUUUUAAUAUUAUUUUUAGUACGAAAGGAAUUAAAUAAUUUACUUUGU
rnacentral:rRNA from 1 species